CUCCUACGGGAGGCAGCAGUGGGGAAUCUUGCACAAUGGAGGAAACUCUGAUGCAGCGACGCCGCGUGAGCGAUGAAGCCCUUCGGGGUGUAAAGCUCUUUCGGCAGGGAAGAUAAUGACGGUACCUGCAGAAGCAGCUGCGGCUAACUACGUGCCAGCAGCCGCGGUAAUACGUAGGCAGCAAGCGUUGUUCGGAGUUACUGGGCGUAAAGGGUGCGUAGGCGGCUUUUUAAGUUUGGUGUGAAAUCUCCCGGCUCAACUGGGAGGGUGCGCCGAAUACUGAGAGGCUAGAGUGUGGGAGAGGAAAGUGGAAUUCCUGGUGUAGCGGUGAAAUGCGUAGAUAUCAGGAGGAACACCGGUGGUGUAAACGGCUUUCUGGACCAUAACUGACGCUGAGGCACGAAAGCGUGGGUAGCAAACAGGAUUAGAUACCCUGGUAGUCCACGCCCUAAACGAUGCAUAUUUGGUGUGGGCCAUUCAUUUGGUCUGUGCCGGAGCUAACGCGUUAAAUAUGCCGCCUGGGGAGUACAGUCGCAAGGCUGAAACUCAAAGGAAUUGACGG
rnacentral:rRNA from 1 species